UCUCUCUUUAUUAAGACACAUCUUGAUGAUUCCUCCAACAGGUGUAUCCUAAUAAAAGGAUUCCUAAGCCGAUACCAACUGCUACUCUAACUCCAACCAGUUCACAUGAUCAACAACAAGUAGCAGUGGAGCCACACCCAUCCCGUGUGACCCCGCCUACUAGCUCCGCCCCUUCAUCAGCUACACUACCAACUCCUCAUGCUCAUUACUCUCGUCCUUCCCCUACAGUCACUGCUGAGACCACACCUCUUAGAGAAGUAUCACCAAGUUUGACGGUUGCUAAUCAUCAAAGAUUAUUAAAUUUAAUAAAAGACGAUUGGAACUGCCUAGAUCUGAUGAUGACUACUCUAGAGGGUAUGGUGUCAAAGACCCAGCGAUCAUUAAUGACACUAAAGGAGAGAAUACAUUUGGUAUCAACACUGACCUCAGCUUAUAAUAUGUACAAACAAUUUGAACAAGAACAAGAGCCCAUUAUACAGCAGAGGAUACAACAAGCAGUUGAUGAAGUGAAGACAAAGUCAUCAGAAGACAAACAGAAAGUAUUAAUGGACGCCAGCAGACAAUUGAGGGAAGCACUGAAAGAAGCUAAUGCACAAUCAAACUCAAAAGAAGUAAA